GUGGAUGGCGGGGAUACAGGCUGAGGGUAGCAAGCCUCCAAAUUGCCAGCGGAGCGACGCGCUACUCCAUCGUGGCAGCGGAGCGACGUCAGGCCGCCUGGGUGGAAUGAAGCGAGGAGGUAGCUGGUAGCACUCAUGCGGUUAUUGUCAUUCUUCAGGUAAGUCAUGGGAAAAAAUUUCUUUGAGACUGAUCUUUUUCUUCUCAAAUUAGAACCCUCUCUAAGCCUGCCACAUGCCAUCACCAAUCUUAAUUAACGCAUUAGGAGUCGUCUUCUUCUCCAAGCCUCUUUUUUUUUUUUUUGAAACGGUUCUCCAAGCCUCUUAUCUUCCCCGAUUCGAACUGAUUCCUGACAUGUGCUAAUUUUGCUCAUCAUCCGGUGGAUCAGUAUUGUUGCAAUCUCCCCUGUCGUCACCAUGGCCGCGUAAACCGUCAUACAGGUCCAGUUCUCAAUUGCAUGUCACCUACGUCUUCAGCGGACCAAGCUGAGCAUACACGAUCACGGGGCCUAUAUUUGGUUGCUUGGUACCAUUGAUACGUCGAUAGUACUUGGAUGACCAUUUCCUACAAAUAUAUACUCAACGCCUUGGAUAUUGUAGAUUUUGACGUUCACAUUGAGGACUACAUAUGAUCUGAUUCAGCUUUAAAAAGCAUCCACCGUUUGAGAAACCGACCUAGCUAGCCCUGGCUGGCCGGGGCUGGCCGUGCACCGGCUGAGUACAUUAUUUCAGAGAACGAUGAAUGGUCAUAUCUCCAGCAUGCUGGAUGGUCGCUUACUAAGUUUGAUAUUUAACUGUACCUUUGUGCUCAUCUUAACUGAAUAUUGAACUAUUUG
rnacentral:lncRNA from 1 species